UUGUGCUAUAUUACGGACCCA
rnacentral:siRNA from 1 species